GCCAGACUCCUACGGGAGGCAGCAGUGGGGAAUAUUGCACAAUGGGGGGAACCCUGAUGCAGCGACGCCGCGUGGGUGAAGGAGCGUUUCGGCGCGUAAAGCCCUCUCGGCAGGGAAGAAGGAGGACGGUACCUGACUAAGAAGCCCCGGCUAACUACGUGCCAGCAGCCGCGGUAAUACGUAGGGGGCAAGCGUUAUCCGGAUUUACUGGGUGUAAAGGGGGCGCAGACGGCAGCGCAAGCCAGGAGUGAAAGCCCGGGGCCCAACCCCGGGACUGCUCUUGGAACUGCACGGCUGGAGUGCAGGAGGGGCAGGCGGAAUUCCUGGUGUAGCGGUGAAAUGCGUAGAUAUCAGGAGGAACACCGGCGGCGAAGGCGGCCUGCUGGACCGUGACUGACGUUGAGGCUCGAGAGCGUGGGGAGCAAACAGGAUUAGAUACCCGAGUA
rnacentral:rRNA from 1 species